rnacentral:rRNA from 1 species
AACGAACGCUGGCGGCGCGCCUAACACAUGCAAGUCGAACGAGAAAUCCGGGGCAACCCGGUAGUAAAGUGGCAAACGGGUGAGGAAUACAUGGGUAACCUACCCUUGAGAAGGGAAUAACCCGCCGAAAGGUGAGCUAAUACCCUAUACGCUAUCUUUUUUUCGAAAAAGAUAGGAAAGCCGGGUCGAGGACCUGGUACUCAAGGAGGGGCUCAUGUCCCUAUCAGCUUGUUGGUGGGGUAACGGCCUACCAAGGCUACGACGGGUAGCUGGUCUGAGAGGAUGAUCAGCCACACUGGCACUGAGAUACGGGCCAGACU